UACGUAGGGGGCAAGCGUUGUCCGGAAUCAUUGGGCGUAAAGAGCGUGUAGGCGGCCCGAUAAGUCCGCCGUGAAAGUCCAGGGCUCAACCCUGGAAUGCCGGUGGAAACUGUCGGGCUGGAGUCCGGAAGAGGCGAGUGGAAUUCCUGGUGUAGCGGUGAAAUGCGCAGAUAUCAGGAGGAACACCAAUGGCGUAGGCAGCUCGCUGGGACGGUACUGACGCUGAGACGCGAAAGCGUGGGGAGCAAACAGG
rnacentral:rRNA from 1 species